AUUGAACGCUGGCGGCAUGCCUUACACAUGCAAGUCGAACGGCAGCGGGGACUUCGGUCCGCCGGCGAGUGGCGAACGGGUGAGUAAUGUAUCGGAACGUACCUUUCAGUGGGGGAUAACGUAGCGAAAGUUACGCUAAUACCGCAUAUUCUGUGAGCAGGAAAGCAGGGGAUCGCAAGACCUUGCGCUGAUUGAGCGGCCGAUAUCAGAUUAGCUAGUUGGUGAGGUAAAGGCUCACCAAGGCUACGAUCUGUAGCGGGUCUGAGAGGAUGCUCCGCCACGCUGGGACGGGGACACGGCCCAGACUCCUACGGGAGGCAGCAGUGGGGAAUUUUGGACAAUGGGCGAAAGCCUGAUCCAGCCAUGCCGCGUGAGUGAAGAAGGCCUUCGGGUUGUAAAGCUCUUUCGGCCGGGAAGAAAUCGCAUCAGCUAAUACCUGGUGUGGAUGACGGUACCGGAAUAAGAAGCACCGGCUAACUACGUGCCAGCAGCCGCCGUAACAC
rnacentral:rRNA from 1 species